GGGCACAUGGUGUAGUUGGUUAUCACAUCCGCUUAGCAUUUGGUCUCUGCGGAAUGCUUCUGCGGGGGGUGCUGGGUUCAAUUCCCAGUGUGUCCA